CGCACGAGAAAGCCCGGGCAACUGGGUGAGUAAAGUGGCGCACGGGUGAGUAACGCGUGGGUAACCUACCCUUGAGCCGGGGAUAACUCCGCGAAAGCGGGGCUAAUACCGGAUAAUAUUUCGAUGUCCUCGGACGUUGAAAUCAAAGGUGGCCUCUGCAUGCAAGCUACCACUUAAGGAUGGGCCCGCGUACCAUUAGCUAGUUGGCAGGGUAAUGGCCUACCAAGGCAACGAUGGUUAGCUGGUCUGAGAGGAUGGCCAGCCACACUGGAACUGAGAUACGGUCCAGACUCCUACGGGAGGCAGCAGUGGGGAAUCUUGCGCAAUGGGGGAAACCCUGACGCAGCAACGCCGCGUGGGUGAUGAAGGCCUUCGGGUCGUAAAGCCCUGUCAGGUGGGAAGAAACAUGCUGAUGUUAAUACCAUCAGCACUUGACGGUACCACCGGAGGAAGCACCGGCUAACUCCGUGCCAGCAGCCGCGGUAAUACGGAGGGUGCAAGCGUUGUUCGGAAUUAUUGGGCGUAAAGCGCGUGUAGGCGGUCAUGUAAGUCAGAUGUG
rnacentral:rRNA from 1 species